CACGAGGGUCUCACUGUCUUAAGGAAAUUUCCAGUGAAAUUGAAUUUGUAGUGAAGAUGCUACAUCCAAAUUGUUAGACAAGAAGUCCCCAUGGAACUUUACUGGAGACUUAUGUGGCUUAAAUUAAUUUAUUUCUUACAAAUAAAUAGUUUUAAAAUGUGGUGUUAACCCCUCGGAUUAACUAGGGUUAUAAAAGCUCACUCUUUUAUUUAAAGAAAGCCAACUCAAAAAGUUAUGUCUUUGGGAUUUGAUAAGUGGGACAGUUUGGUUGGGGCGACCGCCUUUAAAAAAGUAACGAAGGCGGGCUUAAGAUACAUAUUUAGUGAUGUCUGACUGCCAAGGGGAGAUCCUGAGCAGACACUUACUUUUUAGGUGGGUUUAAGUGACCCGUUGAUUUAGGGUGAAAUAGUUAACGAUAAACA
rnacentral:rRNA from 1 species